rnacentral:rRNA from 1 species
GCGGACGGCUCAGUAACACGUGGCUAACCUACCCUCGGGUGGGGGAUAACCUCGGGAAACUGAGGAUAAUACCCCAUAGGAGAAGAGGUCUGGAAUGAUCCUUCUCUGAAAACAUAUGUGCCCGAGGAUGGGGCUGCGUCUGAUUAGGUAGUUGGUGGGGUAACGGCCCACCAAGCCUACGAUCAGUACGGGCCUUGAGAGAGGCAGCCCGGAGAUGGGGACUGAGACACGGCCCCAGGCCCUACGGGGCGCAGCAGGCGCGAAACCUCCGCAAUGCACGAAAGUGCGACGGGGGGACCCCAAGUGCUUACGCACUGCGAAGGCUUUUCUAAAGUGUAAAAAGCUUUAGGAAUAAGGGCUGGGCAAGUCCGGUGCCAGCAGCCGCGGUAACACCGGCGGCCCGAGUGGUGACCACUUUUAUUGGGCCUAAAGCGUCCGUAGCCGGUCCAGUAAGUCCCUGUUUAAAUCCUACGGCUUAACCGUAGGGCUGGCAGGGAUACUGCUGGACUUGGGACCGGGAGAGGGCGAGGGUACUUCAGGGGUAGCGGUGAAAUGUGUUGAUCCCUGGAGGACCACCUAUGGCGAAGGCACUCGCCUGGA